AAAUUGAAGAGUUUGAUCAUGGCUCAGAUUGAACGCUGGCGGCAGGCCUAACACAUGCAAGUCGAACGGUAGCACAGAGAGCUUGCUCUCGGGUGACGAGUGGCGGACGGGUGAGUAAUGUCUGGGAAACUGCCUGAUGGAGGGGGAUAACUACUGGAAACGGUGGCUAAUACCGCAUAACGUCGCAAGACCAAAGAGGGGGACCUUCGGGCCUCUUGCCAUCAGAUGUGCCCAGAUGGGAUUAGCUUGUUGGUGAGGUAACGGCUCACCAAGGCGACGAUCCCUAGCUGGUCUGAGAGGAUGACCAGCCACACUGGAACUGAGACACGGUCCAGACUCCUACGGGAGGCAGCAGUGGGGAAUAUUGCACAAUGGGCGCAAGCCUGAUGCAGCCAUGCCGCGUGUAUGAAGAAGGCCUUCGGGUUGUAAAGUACUUUCAGCGGGGAGGAAGGUGUUGUGGUUAAUAACCACAGCAAUUGACGUUACCCGCAGAAGAAGCACCGGCUAACUCCGUGCCAGCAGCCGC
rnacentral:rRNA from 2 species